GAAACGACUGCUAAGACUGGAUAGGAAAAGUAAAGGCAAUCUUUACUUUUUUAAAAGACCUUCUUUGGAGGUAUGCUUAAGGAGGGGCUUGCGACACAUUAGUUAGUUGGCAGGGUAAAGGCCUACCAAGACUAUGAUGUGUAGCUGGACUGAGAGGUUGAACAGCCACAUUGGGACUGAGACACGGCCCAAACUCCUACGGGAGGCAGCAGUAGGGAAUUUUCGGCAAUGGAGGAAACUCUGACCGAGCAACGCCGCGUGAACGAUGAAGUACCUCGGUAUGUAAAGUUCUUUUAUUAAGGAAGAAAAAAGAGUGGAAAAACUCCCUUGACGGUACUUAAUGAAUAAGCCCCGGCUAAUUAUGUGCCAGCAGCCGCGGUAAUACAUAAGGGGCGAGCGUUAUCCGGAAUUAUUGGGCGUAAAGGGUGCGUAGGCGGUUUAAUAAGUCUAUAGUUUAAUUUCAGUGCUUAACGCUGUUGUGCUAUAGAAACUGUUUUACUAGAGUGAGAUAGAGGCAAGCGGAAUUCCAUGUGUAGCGGUAAAAUGCGUAAAUAUAUGGAGGAACACCAGAGGCGUAGGCGGCUUGCUGGGUCUUUACUGACGCUGAGGCACGAAAGCGUGGGGAGCAAACAGGAUUAGAUACCCUGGUAGUCCACGCCGUAAACGAUGAGUACUAAGUGUCGGGUAAAACCGGUACUGAAGUUAACACAUUAAGUACUCCGCCUGAGUAGUACGUACGCAAGUAUGAAACUUAAAGGAAUUGACGGGACUCCGCACAAGCGGUGGAUCAUGUUGUUUAAUUCGAAGAUACACGAAAAACCUUACCAGGUCUUGACAUUUUCUUGCGAAGUUAUAGAAAUAUAAUGGAGGUUAUCAGGAAAACAGGUGGUGCAUGGUUGUCGUCAGCUCGUGUCGUGAGAUGUUAGGUUAAGUCCUAAAACGAGCGCAACCCUUGUCGUUAAUUGCCAGCAUGUAAUGAUGGGGACUUUAACGAGACUGCCAAUGAAAAAUUGGAGGAAGGUGGGGAUUACGUCAAAUCAUCAUGCCCCUUAUGAUCUGGGCUACAAACGUGAUACAAUGGUUGAUACAAAGAGUAGCUGAAACGCGAGUUCUUAGCCAAUCUCACAAAAUCAAUCUCAGUUCGGAUUGAAGUCUGCAACUCGACUUCAUGAAGUUGGAAUCGCUAGUAAUCGCGAAUCAGCAUGUCGCGGUGAAUACGUUCUCGGGGUUUGUACACACCGCCCGUCA
rnacentral:rRNA from 1 species